AUUGAACGCUGGCGGCAUGCUUUACACAUGCAAGUCGAACGGUAACAGGUUAAGCUGACGAGUGGCGAACGGGUGAGUAAUGCAUCGGAGCGUGCCCGAUCGUGGGGGAUAACGCAGCGAAAGCUGCGCUAAUACCGCAUACGAUCUGAGGAUGAAAGCGGGGGACCGUAAGGCCUCGCGCGAUCGGAGCGGCCGAUGUCAGAUUAGGUAGUUGGUGGGGUAAAGGCUCACCAAGCCAACGAUCUGUAGCUGGUCUGAGAGGACGACCAGCCACACUGGGACUGAGACACGGCCCAGACGCCUACGGGAGGCAGCAGUGGGGAAUUUUGGACAAUGGGCGAAAGCCUGAUUCAGCAAUGCCGCGUGCAGGAAGAAGGCCUUCGGGUUGUAAACUGCUUUUGUACGGAGCGAAAAGGCCCUCUCUAAUACAGUGGGCUCAUGACGGUACCGUAAGAAUAAGCACCGGCUAACUACGUGCCAGCAGCCGCGGUAA
rnacentral:rRNA from 1 species